rfam:Myotis lucifugus cont2.17455, whole genome shotgun sequence.
UAGUGGGAGGAUGACUGACUGGCUGGUACUGUGGUAAUGACUGCCCGCAGUACCAGACAUUCAGCCACCCUCCCCCUUCA